UCAUAGUCACCAACCUCCUGCAAGGCACAGUCAUCCUAUCUGGGCCCGUCCUCUCCUCAGGCAUCCCACCCCAGAGCUUCCUAUAUAGUAGGAGACAUGCAAAUACCGUCCUCCCUCUGCUGAUGAAAACCAGCCCAGCCCCGACUCUGCAGCUCUGGGAGAGGAGCCCAGCCUGGGAUUCCCAGGAGUUUCCACUUGGUGACCAGCACUGAACACAGACCACCAACCAUGGAGUUGGGGCUGAGCUGGGUUUUCCUUGUUGCUCUUUUAAAAGGUGUCCAGUGUGAGGUGCAGCUGGUGGAGUCUGGGGGAGGCUUGGUCCAGCCUGGGGGGUCCCUGAGACUCUCCUGUGCAGCCUCUGGAUUCACCUUCAGUGACUACUACAUGUACUGGGUCCGCCAGGCUCCAGGAAAGGGGCUGGAGUGGGUGGGUUUCAUUAGAAGCAAAGCUUACGGUGGGACAGCAGAAUACGCCGCGUCUGUGAAAGGCAGAUUCACCAUCUCCAGAGAUGAUUCCAAAAGCAUCGCCUAUCUGCAAAUGAGCAGCCUGAAAACCGAGGACACGGCCGUGUAUUACUGUACUAGGGACACAGUGAGGCGAGGUCAGUGUGAGCCCAGACACAAACCUCCCUGCAGGGGCGCACGGGGCCACCAGGGGGCGCUCGGGACCCACUGAGGACGGGACA